GAGGAGCCUGAGCUGCAGUGAGCUGGUAGCCCCUCUGGCUGGAGGUGAAAAAAUAAAAGUCUCCACUCGCAGCGGGCCUGGGGCCGCAGGAAACGGCGAGGCUGCAGCGGAGUACCGAGAGCUAUAGGAACCCGUACGUCUCUGAACUAGCGUUAGGUGAACAAGAGAACAUUACAGCGUUAGAUGACUGUUACCUUAACUUUAACGUACUGCUCGUUGGUUUUUUUCCGAAGAAAAGUAUUCUUGGGAGAGUGGCCCAAGAUCCGUAAACAGUGAACGCCGCCGCUGGGACAACAACGUAGCUGCAGAUCAGGUAGCUAAAAGAGAGAGAGAGGGCAACGUGAGGCCCUUGCUUGUCCCGGGAGAAUGAAGAGAUUCCGGCGACAUGGGCAUGACUCUCAGAGGGACAAACUCAAGCAAGAGCUCUACCAGUUCAAUAAGACUGUGGAGCAUGGCUUUCCCCACCAACCAAGUGCUCUGGGCUUCAGCCCCAGCCUGGAGCUUCUUGCCAUUGGUACCAGAUCUGGAGCCAUCAAACUCUAUGGAGCUCCAGGAGUUGAAUUUAUGGGACUGCAUGAUGAGAAUGCUGCAGUUACACAGGUGCACUUUCUCCCACACCAGGUUGAGUUGGUGACAUUACUGGAUGACAAUAGUCUGCACAUGUGGACACUUCGAGCUCAUAAAGGUGUGUCAGAGCUGCUGGAGAUAGGACGCUUUACACUCACUGGUCCUCCAGGUGCAAUUCCUAGUGUGACGCGGGUGACUGCCGUUCUAGCCCACUCUUCGGGUGAGCUGCUUCUGCUGGGCACUGAAGGUGGUCAUGUGUUCGUAGUGGAGGUGCCUGGCUUCAGGGAGCUGGAAGAAAAUAAUAUCAGUGUGGAAGACGUCCAGAGCAGAGUUCCAGAGGAAUAUGUGGGCCGCAGGAACCUGGAGUGUGUGGAGGCCCUGCAGGAAAAUCCUCUCAACCCCCGGCAAGUGCUGAUAGGCUAUAGCCGAGGCCUGAUGGUUCUUUGGGACCUGGAUCGUCGGUGUGCCAUUCAGCACUUCCUAGGCACACAGCAGCUGGAGAGUGUGUGGUGGAUGGAGGAUGGUGGAAACAUUCUUAGUUCCCAUAGUGAUGGCAGCUAUUGCCAUUGGACGGUGACUGGAAAGGAUCCGCAGACUGAACCAGAGAAACAGGAGACACCAUAUGGUUCCUUCCCAUGCAAGGCCAUUUCCAAAAUCCUACAAAUAUCAACAAGACAAGGUCCCCCAUUCCUUAUCUUCAGUGGUGGCAUGCCAAGGGCCAGCUAUGGAGACAGACACUGCAUCUCUGUCAUACACAGCAAGACCCAUGUAGCGCUGGACUUCACGUCCCGCAUUAUAGACUUCUUUGUCAUCAGAGACGGAGAGCGCCAUAGAGGGGACCCCAGUGCUCUGGUGGUGUUGGUGGAAGAGGAACUGGUGGUAGUAGAUCUGCAGACUGAGGGAUGGCCUGUGAUCCAGACUCCAUACCUGGUGCCACUACACUGCUCAGCAAUCACUUGCUCUCACCAUGUCUCCUCCAUCCCACUAAAACUGUGGGAGAGAAUCCAGGCUGCUGGCAAACUGCAGAACUCACACUACUCAAGAAAGCCUUGGCCGAUAAAUGGAGGACAGAACCUUGCCCCAGAUCCUCCCCAGAGAGACCUGUUGUUGACUGGCCAUGAAGAUGGAACAGUGCGUUUCUGGGAUGCCUCAGGGGUCUGCCUUUACCCCAUGUACAAGCUGAGCACGGCUAUGGUUUUCCACACGGAUGCUGAUCCCAAUGACAACAUGAAUCAGAGCACUGAGGGCGAGUGGCCACCUUUUCGCAAGGUGGGCUGCUUUGACCCAUACAGUGAUGACCCCCGGCUCGGCAUCCAGAAGAUUCAUCUCUGUAAAUAUAGCGGUUACCUGACUGUGGCAGGAACUGCCGGACAAAUCCUAGUGCUGGAGAUGAAUGAUGAGGCAGCUGAGCAGACUGUUGAAGCCACAGUAGUGGACCUGCUGCAGGGGCAAGAAGGUUUCCGCUGGAAGGGCCAGGCACGGCUAGACCUACGGGAGGAGCCAGUCACAUUUCCAUCAGGCUUUCAGCCCUUUGCCUUGGUGCAGUGCCAGCCCCCUGCAGUGGUCACAGCAAUAGCCCUGCAUUCAGAGUGGAAGUUGGUUGCGUUCGGGACUAGCCAUGGUUUUGGUGUCUAUGACUACCAACAGAAGAACAAUAUUCUGGUCAAGUGCACUCUCAACCCAAACGACCAGGUGGCCCUAGAGGGGCCCCUAUCUAGAGUGAAGUCCAUUAAGAAGUCUCUGCGCCAGUCCUUCCGCCGAAUUCGCCGCAGCCGUGUCUCCAUGCGCAAACACAAUCCCAACAAUGCAGCAAAGCUUCAGGAGUUAAAUGCACGGUUAGAGGCAGAGGCUCUGCAUGAAAUGGAACUGGCUCCAGUUCAGAGGAAAAUUGAAGCUCGCUCUGCUGAUGACUCCUUCACUGGACUUGUCAGGACUCUGUAUUUUGCUGACACAUUCCUUAGUGACAGCUCUCAAAGCACACCCUCUCUAUGGGCAGGGACCAAUGGUGGCGCUGUCUUUGCCUACAUGCUGCGUCUCCCUCCUGUAGAACGGAGAAUGGACAACCAAGUGACAGCUCACGCAGCUAAAGAGAUCCAGCUGAUGCAUCGUGCUCCAGUUGUGGGCUUGGUGGUUUUGGAUGGGAGGGGAGCGCCAUUGCCUGAGCCCCUGGAAGUGGCACAUGAUCUCGCCCGCAGCCCUGACAUGCAGGGUUCUCACCAACUGCUUGUCAUCUCGGAGGAGCAGUUAAAGUUGUUCAAUUUGCCUAAAGUGAGCAGCAAGGCAAAGCUUAAACUGACAGCCAUUGACGGUUCCCGGGUGCGUCGGGUGGGCGUGGCCUGGUUUGGGAGUAGUCGGGUGGAGGACUAUGGAGAGAGCAGCUUGGUAGUGUUGACCAAUCAAGGCGAGCUACAUGUUGUGUCCCUGCCAUCAAUCAAACUGCAAGUGCACUACCCCUGUAUUCGAAGAGAGGAUGUCAGCGGAAUCGCAUCCUGCGUCUUCACCAAGCAUGGGCAAGGACUCUAUCUGAUCUCUCCCUCCGAGUUUGAGCGUUUCUCUCUUUCUGCACGCUGGGUAGUGGAGCCACGAUGUCUAGUAGAGGCUUCCCAAACAAGACCCACAUCACAUUCGAGCCAAGCUCACAGAGACCAGCCUGAUGGAGCGUCCAUGGAGAACAGGAACUUAAGAAGGAACAGCGACAACUAUGAAAACUCUGCUAGACAAGUAAUGGAGCAUGCUUUGCUGAACGAUGAGAAGGUGCUCCAGGAGAUCCAAAAGUCACUAGAAGGAGAUCAGAUGUUUUUGGAAAACAGCCUGAAGACUAAGCCAGCACCAGGCAAGGUGCUGAGUAAUGGAGCAUAACUCCUGUUCUAAACUAACGAAGCAAAAUUGGACUCUGAACUUGUUUGGGCUGACCAACUACAUCUGGAAUUGAGCCUUGCAACCCGUGCCUGAAACGUCCGCUCCAGCCUUGCUGAAGACCUGAACACUACUGCAAGUAUCACUACUGAACCAUGUGAAGCCCUGGAGAGAGGAAUGCCUGCUACACCAGAGGGUGAGGGUCAGAGGGACCACCACCUGUGCCUGCCAAGACCAACCACUGUAUCUCCACCGACCAUAACAACCACCAACCCCAGCACCAGCCUCCACCUUUGAGCAUGUCCCCCGCCCUCCUGUGGGGCUGCAGCUACACCACUCAACAGCUCAACACUGAAGAGCAGGAGCAAGGUGGCAGGGGCAUUUUUUUUAUUCUGUUUUAUUUCUUAUGUUUGUUAAUUUAAUUUUUACAUGCAUGAUUUUUGUAUAUGUGAUUUGAAAACCUCAAAAUCUGCAUGAAUGAUGUGUCUCACAAGGGAAAAGAUACCACCAGUCAUUGAAAGGAUUUAAGGUAUAAUGGCUAGGUAGUCUUAGGACUUGUACUGAAGUGCUGAAACUACGUAGUCAACCAAAUGAACCACAUGUAUAUCAAAUAUUUUACUAAGUACUCUAAAAGAAGUAGUAAUGCCUUUUUCCCUCCGUCCAGGCAAAAAAGAGAACAGUGUGUAGUUAUGUUUUAGGUACUUUUUCACUACUGUGUAGCAUAUAUGCUGUAAUUUUUAGGGGGUACAACUUUCUAAGGGGCUUGGUUUUUAAUAUUUUUUAAUGUCAGCUUUUUUAAUGCCAUUUAUGCAUAAUGUAAUUUAGGAAUGUAAUUUUAAGAUAAUGUAGUCAAAUGUUUAAUAUAUGUGUAUAUGAAAAUCUGUAUCUGUUAAUGGUGGACUGUAUUUUCUGAUCUAAGGAAAUAUUUUGGUACUGUCUCUUGAAAUGCUCUCAGCAUUUUUUGGGUCUAGAAUAUAUUUUUGUAGUUAACUGAUCAUGUACAAGAACACUAUCAUUUUGUAAUUUGACACUACCAUUAAGUCUGCUGAGUAAAUUUUUAAACUUUCACCACAA